rnacentral:lncRNA from 1 species
GCUGCCGCCUUCUUCGCUGGAGCAGGCUUCUUGGCAGGGGACUUCUUCGCCGCGGCGGCGGGUUUCUUGGCCGCCGGAGCCGCCUUCUUCCCCGGAGUGUCCUUGGCCGACGUCUUGGCGGCCUUGGCGGGGCGGGUCGUCCGGGACGGGGCGGGAGCGGCCUUCGUCUUGGCAGCGGGCUUCGGCUUGGCGGCAGCACCCUUCGGCUUCGGCUUGGCUGCGGGCUUGGCCUUCGGCUUGGCGGCCGGUUUGGGCUUGGCAGCUGGCUUGGCGGCUGGCUUCGGCUUCGCAGCGACUGCCUUCGGCUUGGCCGCGGGCUUGGCGGCCGGCUUCGG